GAAGUAUGAUGGUCAUGAAAGAGCUGCUAACUCUUUCUCUAGCGGUUAAAUUCCGUUAAUAUUUCU
rnacentral:tRNA from 1 species